GAUGAACGCUGGCGGCGUGCCUAAUACAUGCAAGUCGAGCGAAUGGAUUAAGAGCUUGCUCUUAUGAAGUUAGCGGCGGACGGGUGAGUAACACGUGGGUAACCUGCCCAUAAGACUGGGAUAACUCCGGGAAACCGGGGCUAAUACCGGAUAACAUUUUGAACCGCAUGGUUCGAAAUUGAAAGGCGGCUUCGGCUGUCACUUCUGGAUGGACCCGCGUCGCAUUAGCUAGUUGGUGAGUUAACGGCUCACCAAGGCAACGAUGCGUAGCCGACCUGAGAGGGUGAUCGGCCACACUGGGACUGAGACACGGCCCAGACUCCUACGGGAGGCAGCAGUAGGGAAUCUUCCGCAAUGGACGAAAGUCUGACGGAGCAACGCCGCGUGAGUGAUGAAGGCUUUCGGGUCGUAAAACUCUGUUGUUAGGGAAGAACAAGUGCUAGUUGAAUAAGCUGACACCUUGACGGUACCUAACCAGAAAGCCACGGCUAACUACGUGCCAGCAGCCGCGGUAA
rnacentral:rRNA from 1 species